GAUUAAGUUAUUAAGGGCGCACGGUGGAUGCCUUGGCACUAGAAGCCGAUGAAGGACGUUACUAACGACGAUAUGCUUUGGGGAGCUGUAAGUAAGCUUUGAUCCAGAGAUUUCCGAAUGGGGAAACCCAGCAUGAGUUAUGUCAUGUUAUCGAUAUGUGAAUACAUAGCAUAUCAGAAGGCACACCCGGAGAACUGAAACAUCUUAGUACCCGGAGGAAGAGAAAGAAAAUUCGAUUCCCUUAGUAGCGGCGAGCGAAACGGGAAGAGCCCAAACCAACAAGCUUGCUUGUUGGGGUUGUAGGACACUCUAUACGGAGUUACAAAGGACGACAUUAGACGAAUCAUCUGGAAAGAUGAAUCAAAGAAGGUAAUAAUCCUGUAGUCGAAAAUGUUGUCUCUCUUGAGUGGAUCCUGAGUACGACGGAGCACGUGAAAUUCCGUCGGAAUCUGGGAGGACCAUCUCCUAAGGCUAAAUACUCUCUAGUGACCGAUAGUGAACCAGUACCGUGAGGGAAAGGUGAAAAGCACCCCGGAAGGGGAGUGAAAUAGAACCUGAAACCGUGUGCUUACAAGUAGUCAGAGCCCGUUAAUGGGUGAUGGCGUGCCUUUUGUAGAAUGAACCGGCGAGUUACGAUUUGAUGCAAGGUUAAGCAGUAAAUGUGGAGCCGUAGCGAAAGCGAGUCUGAAUAGGGCGUUUAGUAUUUGGUCGUAGACCCGAAACCAGGUGAUCUACCCUUGGUCAGGUUGAAGUUCAGGUAACACUGAAUGGAGGACCGAACCGACUUACGUUGAAAAGUGAGCGGAUGAACUGAGGGUAGCGGAGAAAUUCCAAUCGAACCUGGAGAUAGCUGGUUCUCUCCGAAAUAGCUUUAGGGCUAGCCUCAAGUGAUGAUUAUUGGAGGUAGAGCACUGUUUGGACGAGGGGCCCCUCUCGGGUUACCGAAUUCAGACAAACUCCGAAUGCCAAUUAAUUUAACUUGGGAGUCAGAACAUGGGUGAUAAGGUCCGUGUUCGAAAGGGAAACAGCCCAGACCACCAGCUAAGGUCCCAAAAUAUAUGUUAAGUGGAAAAGGAUGUGGCGUUGCCCAGACAACUAGGAUGUUGGCUUAGAAGCAGCCAUCAUUUAAAGAGUGCGUAAUAGCUCACUAGUCGAGUGACACUGCGCCGAAAAUGUACCGGGGCUAAACAUAUUACCGAAGCUGUGGAUUGUCCUUUGGACAAUGGUAGGAGAGCGUUCUAAGGGCGUUGAAGCAUGAUCGUAAGGACAUGUGGAGCGCUUAGAAGUGAGAAUGCCGGUGUGAGUAGCGAAAGACGGGUGAGAAUCCCGUCCACCGAUUGACUAAGGUUUCCAGAGGAAGGCUCGUCCGCUCUGGGUUAGUCGGGUCCUAAGCUGAGGCCGACAGGCGUAGGCGAUGGAUAACAGGUUGAUAUUCCUGUACCACCUAUAAUCGUUUUAAUCGAUGGGGGGACGCAGUAGGAUAGGCGAAGCGUGCGAUUGGAUUGCACGUCUAAGCAGUAAGGCUGAGUAUUAGGCAAAUCCGGUACUCAUUAAGGCUGAGCUGUGAUGGGGAGAAGACAUUGUGUCUUCGAGUCGUUGAUUUCACACUGCCGAGAAAAGCCUCUAGAUAGAAAAUAGGUGCCCGUACCGCAAACCGACACAGGUAGUCAAGAUGAGAAUUCUAAGGUGAGCGAGCGAACUCUCGUUAAGGAACUCGGCAAAAUGACCCCGUAACUUCGGGAGAAGGGGUGCUCUUUAGGGUUAACGCCCAGAAGAGCCGCAGUGAAUAGGCCCAAGCGACUGUUUAUCAAAAACACAGGUCUCUGCUAAACCGUAAGGUGAUGUAUAGGGGCUGACGCCUGCCCGGUGCUGGAAGGUUAAGAGGAGUGGUUAGCUUCUGCGAAGCUACGAAUCGAAGCCCCAGUAAACGGCGGCCGUAACUAUAACGGUCCUAAGGUAGCGAAAUUCCUUGUCGGGUAAGUUCCGACCCGCACGAAAGGCGUAACGAUUUGGGCACUGUCUCAACGAGAGACUCGGUGAAAUCAUAGUACCUGUGAAGAUGCAGGUUACCCGCGACAGGACGGAAAGACCCCGUGGAGCUUUACUGUAGCCUGAUAUUGAAAUUCGGCACAGCUUGUACAGGAUAGGUAGGAGCCUUUGAAACGUGAGCGCUAGCUUACGUGGAGGCGCUGGUGGGAUACUACCCUAGCUGUGUUGGCUUUCUAACCCGCACCACUUAUCGUGGUGGGAGACAGUGUCAGGCGGGCAGUUUGACUGGGGCGGUCGCCUCCUAAAAGGUAACGGAGGCGCUCAAAGGUUCCCUCAGAAUGGUUGGAAAUCAUUCAUAGAGUGUAAAGGCAUAAGGGAGCUUGACUGCGAGACCUACAAGUCGAGCAGGGUCGAAAGACGGACUUAGUGAUCCGGUGGUUCCGCAUGGAAGGGCCAUCGCUCAACGGAUAAAAGCUACCCCGGGGAUAACAGGCUUAUCUCCCCCAAGAGUUCACAUCGACGGGGAGGUUUGGCACCUCGAUGUCGGCUCAUCGCAUCCUGGGGCUGUAGUCGGUCCCAAGGGUUGGGCUGUUCGCCCAUUAAAGCGGUACGCGAGCUGGGUUCAGAACGUCGUGAGACAGUUCGGUCCCUAUCCGUCGUGGGCGUAGGAAAUUUGAGAGGAGCUGUCCUUAGUACGAGAGGACCGGGAUGGACAUACCUCUGGUGUACCAGUUGUCGUGCCAACGGCAUAGCUGGGUAGCUAUGUGUGGACGGGAUAAGUGCUGAAAGCAUCUAAGCAUGAAGCCCCCCUCAAGAUGAGAUUUCCCAACUUCGGUUAUAAGAUCCCUCAAAGAUGAUGAGGUUAAUAGGUUCGAGGUGGAAGCAUGGUGACAUGUGGAGCUGACGAAUACUAAUCGAUCGAAGACUUAAUCAA
rnacentral:rRNA from 8 species